rnacentral:rRNA from 1 species
ACCACAUAAGCAGGUGAAACUUCUUAGAGGAACUGGCGCCCGAAAAGGCGCACGAGAAAGAGCAAUAACAGGUCUGUGAUGCCCUAAGAUGUCCGGGGCCGCACGCGUGCUACAAUGACGAUGCUACUGAGCAUGAUUAACUUGUCCGAAAGGAUUGGUGAAACUGUUCAAUUAUCGUCGUGACUGGGAUUGAGGUUUGCAAUUGUCCCUCAUGAACCAGGAAUUCCUAGUAAGCACAAGUCAUAAGCUUGUGCUGAUUACGUCCCUGCCCUUUGUACACACCGCCCGUCGCUACUACCGAUUGAAUGGUUUAGCAAGGACAUUGGAUUGAGCCUUUGCGGUUCACGCUGCUUUGGUUUGAGAAGAUGUCCGAACUUGAUCAUUUAGAGGAAGUAAAAGUCGUAACAAGGUUUCCGUAGGUGAACCUGCGGAAGGAUCAUUAUCAAGUUCCAUUGAACCGUGCACGGUCUCGUUCGGGAGAUGCUCCGUCAUAAGCUAUCUCGAGCGAGUGACUCGUGUGGCCAUAUCCAUCGGGGGACUAUGCCCCCGCAAUGGCCGCUUAUGAUACAGAAAUGAUCGGUAUGGCCCUUGCUGUAACACUUCUUACGGUCUGUGGUUCGUAUCGUUCAUCCGCCAGCCCACAUGACGGGCUGUCUGGCUUACGCAGGUUGUGACGUGUUGCGUAAGUUGGGCAGUCUUGUACACUCGUUCAGUGAGGCUCGGUACGUCACGCCCUUCUCCCUUCGGGUGAGUCUGUUUGUGCUUUUAUCUGUGUCUUACGGUCUGAAAGGUCACGUCGUUGGAAGUAGCUUUGCUAGUUUGGCUUCUGGUUGAACUGGCGGGGUGAAAACAUAAUAGGGGCCUGGAAGACUGCCCAGCGUCUCUGGCUCGGCUAGAUGAUGC